rnacentral:rRNA from 1 species
CCUACGGGGGGCAGCAGUGAGGAAUAUUGGUCAAUGGGCGCAAGCCUGAACCAGCCAUGCCGCGUGCAGGAUGACGGUCCUAUGGAUUGUAAACUGCUUUUGCACAGGAAGAAACACUACCUCGUGAGGUAGCUUGACGGUACUGUGAGAAUAAGGAUCGGCUAACUCCGUGCCAGCAGCCGCGGUAAUACGGAGGAUCCAAGCGUUAUCCGGAAUCAUUGGGUUUAAAGGGUCCGUAGGCGGUCUAAUAAGUCAGUGGUGAAAGCCCUACGCUCAACGUAGGAACGGCCAUUGAUACUGUUAGACUUGAAUUACUUGGAAGUAACUAGAAUAUGUAGUGUAGCGGUGAAAUGCUUAGAGAUUACAUGGAAUACCAAUUGCGAAGGCAGGUUACUACAAGUGGAUUGACGCUGAUGGACGAAAGCGUGGGUAGCGAACAGGAUUAGAUACCCCGGUAGUC